rfam:Gossypium raimondii chromosome 11, whole genome shotgun sequence.
UUAGCGGCGCUUUUGAGCGCCACUAAAAGUAUUAGCGGCAUUUAUU